GAAGCAUCGAGGCAGAAGGACUCAUAGGAUCCAAGAGUGGCAGAGCACUGAUGUGAGACAAAGAGCUCCUGGGGAGGGAGUGAGGAAGAAAAGUACAAGAAGUCCAGUGCUCUUGAGGAACAAGAAACCCCCAAGCUUAACCUGCCAAAAAAGCAAGGUUACCAAGUCUCUAGUGAAACCUCAAGGAGGAGAGACUGUCCCCAGCUGGAGAAGCAGAAGGGAGGAGUUUCAGGUACUAUGACCUGGCCACCUCCAGGGAUUCUCCUAUGGAAAAGAGUGUGAAAUGGGACUUCUGGGAGAGCAGGGUUCAUUCUGGGAAGAUAGAGCAAGAGGAACU